UUUGGGGGGGGGGGGGGGUAUCUCUGAGAAGGUUUUCCGUGCUGCCUUUAGGCACUUAGUAAACACAACUCUGCUCGAGUUGGGUGUCAUUCCUCGAGCCCCCUUCAUAUGUAGCCAAGUUCAAGAAUUCUUGGCCUCGUGGCUUCCCACUGUCCAGGAGUUUCAAAAUUUUCACCCAUACACAGUUGUUUUUUUAAGCUUCAGUUUUUAAGGAUAAAUGUAAAUUUUAACUGCUCAUGUGCCACUUUGUCUAUAUUUGUAAGAUACUAGAAUGAAUAGCAUUGUACAUAAAACACAUUGUCUCUUAUUGUGAAUAACUAAUGCUAGGGUUGCCUGAUGUACAUUUGUGUUAGUGGGAAGAAUUGUUUUGCAACUUAUUGAACCUAAUAUUGUUUGAUUCAUAUGUAAAUAUGUAUGAAUAGUGAAGCAUAGAUGAUGUUGUUUUUGCCAUAAACAUUUCAAAACAUUUGUUAUGUACGGGAGAGACUAUUUUUGUAAUCAGUUUUGUAAUAUUUAUGUAUGAAAAUCAGACAUGUUUUUACUUCACUGUAAAAUUGGUCAAUGGCGCCAUGGGCACUAAACAGUUUUCUAUCAAGGAAAUGAAGUUAUGCAGCAGUAACACAGAAAAUGUUUGCAGCUCAAAAAUAAGUCGGCUCUUCUCCCCCUUUUAUUUAAAGGUGUUGAUGCAUUGGGGUGCCACGAACCACGCCUUUGAGAUCCUCUAUUUUUUAUGGAAAGUGCAAUACUCUGAGGCGGAAAACUAUUUAUCCCCACACUCUCUUUAACAAAUAGCCUGAAAACUAAUCAUUGCAGCUUUGAAUUAUAAACAGAAUGAAGAUGUUUGAUUUACACAGGAACCUUACAGGCCUGCUUUGUAUUUAGUUUUGAAAAAGUCAAUAAAGCUGUAAAGUCAUUUUGAAUUAAAUUAGAAAAGUCUUGGAAUAAAACACCACCAAGGUGUCCAUUUUUCAUCUUCUGCUUUUUCAUGGUUUCCUCAAUUCAUGUCAUCACAAAAGCUAUGACUUCUUACUUGGGUAGGUUUUGCCAUGCUUUCAAAUAUCUGAUGUGCCAGAGGAGUCAUGCUUUACUUCUGCGUAAGGCACUACUGCUGAAAAAUUUAUUUAGGAAAGUAUGGAAACUUUCAAAAAUCCCAGUAGUAGUGCCUUUGUUUACUUCUGCGCAAGGACAUUGGCCUCAAUAUUAUUGAUCACAUAUUUACCGUGCAGGUAUCAACCAACCCUAUGUACUACUUUUCUUCUCCCAAAUAGAUAUGGAGUUUGUUUUAAAAGUUCAAUCAGAAAUGUUUGUAUAAUGGGAGCUGUACUUGAAAGUUCAACUUUUGUAAAUAAAUUAAUGUAGUCUACAGUCUUGUUUUCUUGACUUUUGAUUGUCCCCAUAACGUGAUAAUAAUAAUAAUCUCUGUUAUCCGUGAGGAAAUUUGUUACAAAAGACCUGGUUUAAAUGUUUUGACCUAAAACUAGAAGUUACGUUGAAAUCUUAACCCAACAAUUUGUUUUUUUUUUAAAUGCUUAAAAGUCAUCCAGUCCAUGAGUUUCAUGUCAACAUUUGAAUGCAAUAAUUUCUUGUGUGUCCUUUUUGUUUGUUUGCGGAGUUCAGUUUGAAAUGUGCAGCUCAUUCUGUUGUAGUUCACUAUCCUUGUGUGGUUCUUGUUUGUAGAACUGGUUCACUUAGCAGACAUGUAACUCUUAUGUUUAUGAGCUCACAAUCAGUGCUGCUGAGGCAUGAAGUGUUGUUUAGUAUUGGUAAACAUUUGUUCCACUCCCCCAGCACUAUUUCUUAUUGUAAUCCCUUUCAGACAAAUGUUUACUUUUAUUCUAGCCACAGAUUUCAAGAAUCUUCAGCUCUGUGUUUAACCGUAGAUACAUGGAUUUUCAUGAAAAUAAAUGUAAAAUUAGGAUGCCUUUGAGUUUGUAUGAAAGCUGUACAAGUCUUUCAGAACCAUAGGCAUGGUCUUCGUAGCAGGGACUUUUGGCUUCAAAGCUCCAGUCAUCUCUGGCACAAUGACCUAAGAUAAAUUUCAGAAGUGUUCAAUAUAGUAAUCUUUUUACAAAUAUUGGUUGAAGGGCAACAGAACUAUUUCAAAGCACCAUUGUAGAUGAUGUCAAGACACUUUGGCAGUCUUAAUGUCACCAUUUUAUUUCUUUUUUUACAUCAGAAUUCUUGUGAAACUGAUGCUGUAUCAUUCAUGUGUAUUAAUAUUCUCAUGGUGUCUCGUAGUGGUAUAAUAAAAAUAAAAUAGGAUCUGAGUACUUGGCAGCUUUUUUUUUUUUGCAAAUUUUAGUUUCAAUUUGUUUUAAUAAAUUAAUUUGUGUAAUCUUUAUUACUAUAUUUCUAUUUUGUACCGUAUUAAAUUGAUUUUUUUUUCUUUUAUAUUUCAGGAAAAAAUGAUCAUGAAUGUCAGAUAAUUGUUUACAUUCAAUGUAGCCCAAUGCAAAGAAAGGUUAAAUUAGAUACCAUUAAAGUGGAGAUUUUAACAUUGUGAAAUUAACUUGUCUUUAUUAUUCUACAGUUACCAAAUACAUAAUUUAUCAUGGCUGAAUUAAGUAAAUAUUUGAAAACCAUAAGUUCUGAAUUUAAAUGAAAUUCUAUUCUUUGUUAAGAUAUAUUUUUUUCCACUAAAAAAAUUAUUAUAUUAUGGUAUGCAAAUAUCUUUAUGGCACAGAAAAUAAACAAAAAUUGUUUUAAUCUAUAAGGUACUGAUAUUUUUUAAAGGCCUGUCAUGUUUGAAUACCUUUCAGUGCAUUGGGAUAUAUUUAAAUAUUCCCUCUUAAAAUGUUUUAGAUCUUUAUUAUCCAGUGCAAAUUAUUUUCCACUAUAUGGAGUGCUAAUUUUUUUAUUUUAACUUAAAAAGUUCUGUGCUGCACUGACCAAAUAUGUUUCUUAAGUUCAAAUGUAAGACAGUGGGGAUGUUCCAGAAGUCAGAACAACUCACUGAAGAUAUCAGUUAAUGUACUAAAGCUGUAUGCUUCAUUGUAAGUCAUUUGAGUUUUGUAUCAUUCUCAAUGCUCAUGUCAUUGAAGUCUUUCUUAGCAUUGGUUGAUUCCAUUCAAUAAAAUAGAUGAAAAAAAAAA